rnacentral:rRNA from 1 species
UACGUAGGGACCAAGCGUUGUUCGGAUUUACUGGGCGUAAAGGGCGCGUAGGCGGCCAUGCGUGUCUUCCGUGAAAUCCCUCGGCUUAACCGAGGACGUGCGGAAGAAACUGCAAGGCUCGAGUCCGGAAGAGGGGGGCGGAAUUCCCAGUGUAGCGGUGAAAUGCGUAGAUAUUGGGAGGAACACCAGUGGCGAAGGCGGUCCCCUGGGCCGGAACUGACGCUGAGGCGCGAAAGCGUGGGGAGCAAACAGG